AGCGAACGCUGGCGGCAGGCUUAACACAUGCAAGUCGAGCGGGCGUAGCAAUACGUCAGCGGCAGACGGGUGAGUAACGCGUGGGAACAUACCUUUUGGUUCGGAACAACACAGGGAAACUUGUGCUAAUACCGGAUAAGCCCUUACGGGGAAAGAUUUAUCGCCGAAAGAUUGGCCCGCGUCUGAUUAGCUAGUUGGUGAGGUAACGGCUCACCAAGGCGACGAUCAGUAGCUGGUCUGAGAGGAUGAUCAGCCACAUUGGGACUGAGACACGGCCCAAACUCCUACGGGAGGCAGCAGUGGGGAAUAUUGCGCAAUGGGGGCAACCCUGACGCAGCAACGCCGCGUGAGUGAGGAAGGUUUUCGGGACUGUAAAGCUCUGUCGAGCGGGAAGAAGCGUACCAUGGCUAAUAUCCAUGAUAUUUGACGUACGCUAGAGGAGCACCGGCUAACUCGUGCCAGCAGCCGCGGUAAGCUCGUCUCUA
rnacentral:rRNA from 1 species